rnacentral:rRNA from 1 species
ACUCCUACGGGAGGCAGCAGUGGGGAAUCUUGGACAAUGGGCGCAAGCCUGAUCCAGCCAUGCCGCGUGAGUGAUGAAGGCCUUAGGGUCGUAAAAGCUCUUUCGCCAGGGAUGAUAAUGACAGUACCUGGUAAAGAAACCCCGGCUAACUCCGUGCCAGCAGCCGCGGUAAUACGGAGGGGGUUAGCGUUGUUCGGAAUUACUGGGGCGUAAAGCGCGCGUAGGCGGAUUAGUCAGUCAGAGGUGAAAUCCCAGGGCUCAACCCUGGAACUGCCUUUGAUACUGCUAGUCUUGAGUUCGAGAGAGGUGAGUGGAAUUCCGAGUGUAGAGGUGAAAUUCGUAGAUAUUCGGAGGAACACCAGUGGCGAAGGCGGCUCACUGGCUCGAUACUGACGCUGAGGUGCGAAAGUGGUGGGGAGCAAACAGGAUUAGAUACCCUGGUAGGCUCUGC